rnacentral:misc_RNA from 1 species
UAUUAAUUCUUUUUACAGGUCACAAUAUGCCUUUUGUGGAUUUUAGUAGAUUUUUCCCUACAAGAAGAAACUUUUGAAAAUUCUAUUAAUUUGUGUAAAGAUAGAUGCACAUGUCAGUAUUCAUCAAAUGAAAAAUCGGCCGUCAUAGACUGUUCAAAAGCCCGAAUGCAUCACACAAUUGCAAAUUGGCCCGAUCGCGCGUCAAAAACCUCGAAUAUAUUUGCCAAUUUCAAAAACAAUAACAUUACAACGCUCGAAGAGAUGCCAGGAACGGAUGCAAAUUUGCAACUCAUCUUUAGCAACUGCAACAUAAAAUAUCUUAAUACGGGCCUGUUUGAAAGCGCAGUAAACGUGAAAUACGUCGACUUAAGUCACAAUUUACUAGAAAACGAUCAACUUGGUGGGGACGUUUUCAAGGGACCGUAUAAUGUCACAGAUUUUCGUCCCAUAGCUCUGGAGUAUUUAAACUUGGCAUACAAUAAUUUACACAGUUUACAAAAGAAUAUGUUCCAACACAUCCCUUAUUUGAAAGUCCUGAAUUUAGAGGGGAACCACUUCAGGGUUCUGGAUCACGUUACAGCAUUUUCAUUCUCCUAUCUGCCCAAUUUACAAAGUUUAAGUUUAGCUCAUAAUCAACUGACGGAAAUACCGAUUGAUGUUUUGAAAAAUUUAAAAGGAAAUUUAACGGACCUAAACUUGGCUUUAAACGAUCUCGACUUUGUUCCCAGCUCUCUUGCAUACGUUUACAAAACUUUGCAAAUACUGAAUAUAAGUGGAAACCCAAUUAUUGAAUUUAAUAACAAAAGCUUCGAAGGACUCGUAAACCUUCUAAAACUUUACGCCAACAAUUUAACAGAACUGACCUCAGUAACAGCCUACGCUUUCGCGCACCUAAAAAAGCUACAAGUCCUCAGCCUCUCAGAAAAUCCUAAGUUGUUCGAAAUAGAUGAAGAUGCCUUCAUAGGCACUACAAAUUUACAAGAGUUAUACAUGGAGAGUAACUCCUUGCUGCACGUCUCCUACAAGUUGCUGCCCUCUUGGUCGAGUCUGAGGGUGUUGAAUUUGAAAGGGAACCGAUUCUAUUGCGACUGUGAUCUGUACAACAUAUCGCAACAGCUCAAUGAAGACAUCAAACGAAAUGGCGACGGGCCGUACUGCCUGGACGCGAAGGCGUUCACAUCAAGAGAAGUGUACACACUCAAGGACAACGCCUGCGGAAUGUGGCCCCUUGAAGAUUCUACAAGUAAAUCAGUUUUCCAUAAGUCGAUGACGCUUAUGAGAAUCGUACUGAUGUUAAUGAUGGCGUUAUUAAUCAUUUCUACAGCUAUGGCCGUAUGGCUGGCGGUAAUGAAAUGGAAAACAUACAAUAGAAGCCUCAAUUAUCCAUUUCCAAAUCAAGUAGUUUAUAAUCCAGUUUCAACUUAUGACGCGAGAUAUUAGGAGAGCACAGAUUUUUUUUAUUUCAGUACCUACGCAGAGAAAAUUAUUUAUUUCGUAGUAAAAGACACUCAAUCAAACCGUAUACAUACAGAUCUUUAUAUUAUUUUACUUAUAAGCUGGGAAAACUUUUUUUUUUGUUACCUACCUGGCAAGAAGAACCAGAAAUUUGUUCGGCAUAAGCAAGGAACUGGUGUAAGAUAUCUUCGGACUUCUGUGCAGUUUCUUUAAAAGUAUAGAACAUGUCCAAUUGUUCGGCACAACGUAAACAAAUUACAUGAGGCAGUGGGUCACUAUCAGAUAUCUAUAAAAAAAAAAAAGUGGAAUAAACAUUACUUUUAAAACCUACCCCAAUAAUAUUUACUAAUCUACUUCUUUACUGCUUUAACAUAAUGUACAGGUGUGUAAUAAAUAACAUUAAGUAGAUAGGUACCUAUCUAAAAAAAAAAGGCAAAAAGGUCCCAACGAUAUAAAACUGAUAAAUAUUACAAAGCAAAUAAUAAUGAGAAACUUGAUACUACCCACUGCGUUUCUAUUUUUAGAAGUGUACCUACAUUGAUACAUAAUAUGUAAAUUACCAAAUAAAUAAUUUGCCAAUAUCA